CAUCCUUGUAGCUGGGAACAAGCAGUGCGAACUACGUUUGAAAUAGUUUGUGUUGUAUGUAUGCAAAUACUAAAUGCUUGUCAUAACAAAUUUAUCCCAAAUAUGUUUUAAGUGCAUAGCUGUGUGUUCGGCAAGUUUCAUCUUUUAAUUUUCAUCAUUGCUUUAUAAAAAUACUCUCCAAUCUAUCAUGUUGCGUAGUCAGUUUCGGUGCUAUGUUCUUGAUUCUGUUUUACAAUACAAGCUAAGCCGCGGAAUGUGAUUUUUACGCUGUAGCCAAGGUCGCUACGGUAAAAAGAAUGCUCUCCCAAGUCGUGUAGGGUAUUUUAUGUGAAUUCACUAUUGGAGUACUUAAAAGGGUUGUUCUAGUGCACUGAAAGACAAGUACUUUGAGGAGGUAAAUAUUGUUUAGCACUAAACGUAUGCAUACUCGCAUAUACAAAACUGUAUUUUGCGAGGGGCAAAUCACUCCUAAACUAAAUAUUUUAUAUUUUUCACGGAUCAGUUUUUUUUUAUUUUUCCAACAACCCUUUCCCCCCAUUAUUCUCUUUUAAAAUCACUCCUAAAAAGUGUACGAGAUCAAAACCUAAUAUGAUUUUUCUUGUGAGUUCAGUGAUUUUUUUGUUGAUUUUUUUAUUUUGUGAUUUUUAGGGUGAGGGUGUAUCCUCGGAUGCUAAAACUCAGGAUGUGCUUUUUGACCCAUUUUUUUCCCAGAAUUUCCGUUAGUGAGGAGUGCUAAUCGUCCUUACUUGUAGCUGAGAGCGAAGCUGAAUUAACGAAGGACACAUCUCAACCUGAUUCGAGUGAUGCCUCUAGCCACCUCAUCAUGACUCAUGUCGCAUCAUGACUCAUGUCUCAUCACGAAGCACAGCCACGGCGGAAGGGGUUAGUUUGGGAUUUAACACAACCCACCCAUGUUGUACAUAGUUUCAAUCAUUCUUGUAAUUGCGGCACGUAAUUGAGUCUAACCAGUGACGCCGGAACGAUGUGAAGGCAAGGGGGGCAGAUUUUCGUGAAAGGGCACUUUUGGAUUGAUAUAUACGAAGAGAUGCUUGCAACACAUCGGGAGUUGAACUUCGCCUAAUCAUAUUUUCUAUUUAUUGGAUGAUAGGGGUGUGAGGGGGUUCUCCGCCAGGCGAUUGUGCUAUUCCUGAAGCUCGAUGACUGCAUUUCUUGCGUUUUCUGAAGCAAAUUCGUAAAAUAAUUGCACUAACAUUUCUGACAAUUCGCUAUUUCGCCAAGGCAAUCCUUUAAAUUGAAAGGGCACCUUUGCCCCCCUUGCCCCUCCUGGUAAACGGCAACGGGGGCGGCUGCCCCUCCUGCCCCCCCCCAGUUCCGGCGUCCCUGAGUCUAACGACUACAACGCGUGUAUGUUUUUAAUAA